UACGAAGGGUGCAAGCGUUACUCGGAAUUACUGGGCGUAAAGCGUGCGUAGGCGGUUGUUUAAGUCUGCUGUGAAAUCCCCGGGCUCAACCUGGGAAUGGCAGUGGAUACUGGACAGCUAGAGUGUGUCAGAGGGUGGUGGAAUUCCCGGUGUAGCGGUGAAAUGCGUAGAGAUCGGGAGGAACAUCAGUGGCGAAGGCGGCCAUCUGGGACAACACUGACGCUGAGGCACGAAAGCGUGGGGAGCAAACAGG
rnacentral:rRNA from 1 species